GUUGAGGUCUAUCCUGAUGGGGCUUUCCUGUAGCCUGCACAUCGUUGGAAAUGCCGCAUAGAGUUACUCUGUGGGUUUGCUUUACUCACAGGACUGUUUGUUAGACCUGUGAGAAGGAACUACAACACAGAG
ensembl:snoRNA